rnacentral:rRNA from 1 species
UGUAAAAUUUUAAGGGUCGAACAGACCCAAUAUCAUAGCUUCUACACCAAAAAUUUAUUUUAAUCCAACAUCGAGGUCGCAAUCUUUUUUUUUAAUAUGAACUUUCUAAAAAAAUUACGCUGUUAUCCCUAAGGUAAUUUAAUCUUAUAAUCAAAAAUAUUGGAUCAUUUAUUCAUAAAUUAAUGACUUAAAAUAAAAAAAGUUAAUUAAAUUUUUCAAUCACCCCAAUUAAAUUAUUUUUUAAAAAUAUUAAAUUAAUACUUAAAUAAUAAAUUUUUUAAAUAAUCAAACUCUAUAGGGUCUUCUCGUCUUUUAAUAAAAAUUAAGCUUUUUAACUUAAAAAUAAAAUUCUAUUUAAAAUUUAAUAGAGACAGCUAUUUUCUUAUUCAACCCUUCAUUCCAGUUUCCAAUUAAAAAACUAAUGAUUAUGCUACCUUAGCACGGUCAAUAUACCACGGCCAUUUAAUACUUCAGGGGGCAGGUCAGACCUUAAAUUAUUAACAAAAGGAC